GCCAGUGAGAGGUAGUGAUAGUGAAAGUGAAAUCUGAAUCUCUCUAAUAACACUGUUAGACUGGUUAGAUCCAUCAAAUUGUUAAAUGGAAUAAAACAAUUUCGCUUCUGAGAUUGGUCUGACGGGAAAAUUUCGAUCAAAUCAACAUGAGGUCCAUUUUGAUCAAACGUCCGAAAACUUGGCCCAGAUAUUGCUUGAAAUUAUAACCCGUUAUAGUAUGCAAGACUCUCCCCUUGACGAGUAAAUUCAUCUGGCGUUAGACAAAGUAAAAUACUAAAGUAGGGCGCAUUUUGGCACAUUGCAGCUUAAUGGGUUAUAAGAGAGAUUCUGCCCAGCAUGGCUGGUCUGACCAUUUCAAAUGGAAAGCGUGCUUUGUGUCUUUUUUGUAAAUAUAUCCAGUCCUUGCAAUAUGAUUAUGAACUUUAGCUAAAUUGAGGACUUUAUGUAAAUUUGUAUGGGGCAUAUAACAAAGUACGCAUUAUCAAAGUUGAGUUAUAGAAUUAUAGUGGCAUGCAGUCAUUGUUUGUUUUAUUAGGUUAACUAGUGCAUGUAGUGAUUAAGAAUCAAGUAAUAACAAAUAUAUGCACAAAAUAUUUAGAUUUAUAUAGCCAGUAAAAUAUCGUGUUAGUUUUCAUAGGUAGUAAAAUAUUUCAUAUUGAUAUUUAAUAAAAGUAUUUGCUUAAAACAGGCUCUCAUAAAUGUUUCCGAAUUUCUUUAACUUUCCCCAAAAUUCCUUACAUUACUUCAUUCAGUUUAAUGUGAUUUCCGCUCGACCAACGUAAAUCACAUAUGUGUACUUCAAAUUUAACCAGAUAAAAAAUCGAGAAUUCGGCAAUUUUUAAUUCUUG